rnacentral:misc_RNA from 1 species
CUUGUGCAUUGAACCGUUCACUAGCAAACCUCUUCAUAUUUUGCCCCAAGUGCAUGUGGUGCCUUGGGCGACGAGGGGUCCCUAUGUUGAAUUCCUAAUGACGGUAUUGAUGUGUCCCUUUAACGUGUUACUUUCGCUCUACAUCCCUUAAAGGGAGGUCGAGCGGACAACGAAACUUGGUCCGUCAUCCACCCCGUCAAGCAAAAACAAGCGCGACGGGACUGGACGAUGGUCUGAAGUUGGGCCCAUGGAUGCAGAAUGCUGUGAGGGAGUCGACGUGAAUUCGUCGCACACCCAACCUAGCAUUGUAUGCUAACGAUGGAUGACAUUCGAGCGCGACUUGACCCUUUCAUGAUUGACUUGGGCUCACGCGUGCCGAUGUCGACCGGGGGAGUGCUAA